CACUGUUUCCUUUCUGAGUGGA
rnacentral:miRNA from 2 species